UACGUAGGGUGCAAGCGUUGUCCGGAAUUAUUGGGCGUAAAGAGCUCGUAGGCGGUCUGUCGCGUCUGCUGUGAAAACUCGGGGCUUAACCCCGGGCCUGCAGUGGGUACGGGCAGACUAGAGUGCGGUAGGGGAGACUGGAAUUCCUGGUGUAGCGGUGGAAUGCGCAGAUAUCAGGAGGAACACCGGUGGCGAAGGCAGCCCCCUGGGCUAACACUGACGCUCAGGCACGAAAGCGUGGGGAGCAAACAGG
rnacentral:rRNA from 1 species